AUUGAACGCUGGCGGAAUGCUUUACACAUGCAAGUCGAACGGUAGAGGGGGCAACCCCUCGAGAGUGGCGAACGGGUGAGUAAUAUAUCGGAACGUGCCCAGUCGUGGGGGAUAACGUAGCGAAAGUUACGCUAAUACCGCAUACGAUCUAAGGAUGAAAGCGGGGGAUCGCAUGACCUCGCGCGAUUGGAGCGGCCGAUAUCAGAUUAGGUAGUUGGUGGGGUAAAGGCUCACCAAGCCAACGAUCUGUAGCUGGUCUGAGAGGACGACCAGCCACACUGGAACUGAGACACGGUCCAGAUUCCUACGGGAGGAAGCAGUUGGGAAUUUUGGACAAUGGACGCAAGUCUGAUCCAGCCAUUCCGCGUGCAGGAUGAAGGCCCUCGGGUUGUAAACUGCUUUUGUACGGAACGAAAAGGUCUCUCUUAAUACGGGGGACUCAUGACGGUACCGUAAGAAUAAGCACCGGCUAACUACGUGCCAGCCGCCGCGGUAAAAC
rnacentral:rRNA from 1 species